rnacentral:rRNA from 1 species
CCCUUAGAUGUUCUGGGCCGCACGCGUGCUACACUGAGUGGAUCAGCGGGUCAGGUUGCGCGAAAGCGUUUCCUAAUCUUUAAAUCCGCUCGUGAUGGGGAUUGACGGUUGCAAUUUUCUGUCAUGAACGAGGAAUACCUUGUAAGCGCGGGUCAUCUUCCCGCGCUGAAUACGUCCCUGCCCUUUGUACACACCGCCCGUCGCUCCUACCGAUUGAGUGGUCCGGUGAGGCUUUGGGAUCUGAGCGGAAAGAGCGUUUCGCUGUUUCUGCUCGGAAAACUCAGUCGAACCUUAUCAUUUAGAGGAAGGAGAAGUCGUAACA